rnacentral:rRNA from 1 species
GAUGAACGCUGGCGGCGUGCCUAAUACAUGCAAGUCGAGCGAACGGACGAGAAGCUUGCUUUUCUGAUGUUAGCGGCGGACGGGUGAGUAACACGUGGAUAACCUACCUAUAAGACUGGGAUAACUUCGGGAAACCGGAGCUAAUACCGGAUAAUAUUUUGAACCGCAUGGUUCAAAAGUGAAAGACGGUCUUGCUGUCACUUAUAGAUUGAUCCGCGCUGCAUUAGCUAGUUGGUAAGGUAACGGCUUACCAAGGCAACGAUGCAUAGCCGACCUGAGAGGGUGAGCGGCCACACUGGAACGGAGACACGGUCCAGACUCCUACGGGAGGCAGCAGUAGGGAAUCUUCCGCAAUGGGCGAAAGCCUGACGGAGCAACGCCGCGUGAGUGAUGAAGGUCUUCGGAUCGUAAAACUCUGUUAUUAGGGAAGAACAUAUGUGUAAGUAACUGUGCACAUCUUGACGGUACCUAAUCAGAAAGCCACGGCUAACUACGUG